GUAGGGAAUAUUGCACAAUGGGCGAAAGCCUGAUGCAGCAACGCCGCGUGCGCGAUGAAGGCCUUCGGGUUGUAAAGCGCUUUUCGGGGAGAUGAGGAAGGACAGUAUCCCCGGAAUAAGGCUCGGCUAACUACGUGCCAGCAGCCGCGGUAACACGUAGGAGCCAAGCGUUAUCCGAAUUCACUGGGCGUAAAGCGCGUGCAGGCGGCUCGGUAAGUUGGAUGUGAAAUCUCCUGGCUCAACUGGGAGAGGACGUUCAAUACUGUCGGGCUAGAGGACGGCAGAGGGAGGUGGAAUUCCCGGUGUAGUGGUGAAAUGCGUAGAUAUCGGGAGGAACACCAGUGGCGAAAGCGGCCUCCUGGGCCGUUCCUGACGCUCAGAUGCGAAAGCUAGGGGAGCGAACGGGAUUAGAUACCCCAGUAGUCC
rnacentral:rRNA from 1 species